rnacentral:rRNA from 1 species
UACGAAGGGGGCUAGCGUUGUUCGGAAUUACUGGGCGUAAAGCGCACGUAGGCGGAUACUUAAGUCAGGGGUGAAAUCCCGGGGCUCAACCCCGGAACUGCCUUUGAUACUGGGUAUCUCGAGUCCGGAAGAGGUGAGUGGAAUUCCGAGUGUAGAGGUGAAAUUCGUAGAUAUUCGGAGGAACACCAGUGGCGCAGGCGGCUCUCUGGGUCGGCCCUGACGCUGAGGCGCGAAAGCGUGGGGAGCGAACGGG